rnacentral:rRNA from 1 species
UUCGGCAAUCUGGGCGAAAGCUGGGACCUCCCGCAAGGGACCGUUGCACAGGUGGUGCAUGGCUGUCGUCAGCUCGUGCCGUGAGGUGUUGGGUUUAAGUCCCGCAACGAGCGCAACCCCUGUCCUUAGUUGAAUGUUCUAGGGAGACUGCCGGGCGAAACCCGGAGGAAGGUGGGGAUGACGUCAAGUCAGCAUGCCCUUUAUGUCCAGGGCUACACACACGCUACAAUGGCCGGUACAACGGGCUCCGACACGGCGACGUGAAGGUAAUCCCUUAAAACCGGUCUCAGUUCGGAUUGUAGGCUGCAACUCGCCUGCAUGAAGUCGGAGUUGCUAGUAACCGCCGGUCAGCACACGGCGGUGAAUACGUUCCCGGGCCUUGCACUCACCGCCCGUCACACCACCCGAGUCUGGUGCUCCCGAAGUCGCUGGCCGAACCCGCAAGGGACGGAGGUGCCGAAGGAGUGCCCGGUGAGGGGGGUGAAGUCGUAACAAGGUAACCGUA